rnacentral:rRNA from 1 species
GACGAACGCUGGCGGCGUGCUUAACACAUGCAAGUCGAACGGAAAGGCCCUGCUUUUGUGGGGUGCUCGAGUGGCGAACGGGUGAGUAACACGUGAGUAACCUGCCCUUGACUUUGGGAUAACUUCAGGAAACUGGGGCUAAUACCGGAUAGGAGCUCCUGCUGCAUGGUGGGGGUUGGAAAGUUUCGGCGGUUGGUGAUGGACUCGCGGCUUAUCAGCUUGUUGGUGGGGUAGUGGCUUACCAAGGCUUUGACGGGUAGCCGGCCUGAGAGGGUGACCGGCCACACUGGGCCUGAGCUACGGCACAGACUCCUACGGGAGGCAGCAGUGGGGAAUAUUGCACAAUGGGAGGAAGCCUGAUGCAGCAACGCCGCGUGCGGGAUGACGGCCUUCGGGUUGUAAACCGCUUUCGCCUGUGACGAAGCGUGAGUGACGGUAAUGGGUAAAGAAGCACCGGCUAACUACGUG